rnacentral:rRNA from 1 species
AUGGAGGCUCCCCAGCGUGCGGUGGCGGGGAAGCUCGCGGUGGCUCGUGUGCUAUCGCCAUACCCGGUUGAUCCCAAGGCAGUCGUCGGCGACCUCCGCGGCCCGUGGAAGCUGCGAGGUAGUGCGGUGGCUCAGAGGGUCGACUGCAAGGACGGUCGUUUCGUCAUCACCUUCUCGGAGGAAGGGGACCUGAAGCAUGUUCUUCGAGCUGGCCCGUGGCACUUCAGGAACAAUGUCGUGCUGAUCGCGGCGCUCGAAGGGAUGGUCGACCCCGUGGAUGUGUGCCUGGACUCGUUCCUGAUUUGGGUACAAAUCCAUGGCCUUCCGGUGCCGCUCAAAACUGAAGCUGUGGGCUGGGUUCUUGGUGACCAGCUAGGUGAGGUGAAGGCAGUGGCGCACCAAGACAAUCAGAUUGUAGGCGAGCAUCUUCGGGUUCGUGUCCUCCAUAAGGUGGCUGAGCCGCUAAGGAGGAACGCCGCCUUCAUUCCCUUUGGUAGUUCUGAGGAAAUAAGUUUCAAUGUAAAAUAUGAGAAGUUGCCUAAUUUUUGCUUAUGCUGUGGUUUGGUGGGACACAUGAUGGCCAAGAACUGCAGCAUCCCGGCCGAGCACUGCAAGGCGGUCUACUCCAUCGAGAUCAAGGCACUGUCAUGGGGUGGGCCGGUUCGGCGCAACCUUGACUUCUGGGGCCUUCCGGGUGCCCAGGAAGAUGAAGAGGACACGGAGAACGCCAAGCUACCGGACAAGAUGAUCUCUGUGGUUGCUACGGCGGUCAAGAACCUGACCGUGGCUGCUGCCUCGACGGUGACUGCGGAUCCUCUCGGAAAGGCGGCGGGUUCCAUGACGGUCGUUGACCCGGGGCUGCGUGUGCUUGGUAUAUCCCAGGAGGGGAGGCCGGUGCUUGCUGGCUCUGGGUCAAAUGGCCAGGCUUAG